rnacentral:rRNA from 1 species
GACUUCGGUUUUGUGGUGAGUGGCGAACGGGUGAGUAACACGUGAGUAACCUGCCCCGAACUUUGGGAUAACGGCUCGAAAGGGCUGCUAAUACCGGAUAUUGAAUCUCUGUCGCAUGGUGGGGGUUUGAAAGUUUUUUCGGUUCGGGAUGGGCUCGCGGCCUAUCAGCUUGUUGGUGGAGUGAUGGCCUACCAAGGCGUCGACGGGUAGCCGGCCUGAGAGGGCGACCGGCCACACUGGGACUGAGAUACGGCCCAGACUCCUACGGGAGGCAGCAGUGGGGAAUAUUGCACAAUGGGCGGAAGCCUGAUGCAGCAACGCCGCGUGCGGGAUGAAGGCCUUCGGGUUGUAAACCGCUUUCAGUCGGGACGAAUGUGACGGUACCGACAGAAGAAGCACCGGCUAACUACGUGCCAGCAGCCGCGGUGAUACGUAGGGUGCGAGCGUUGUCCGGAUUUAUUGGGCGUAAAGAGCUCGUAGGUGGUUCGUUGCGUCGGAAGUGAAAACUUGGGGCUCAACCCUAAGCUUGCUUUCGAUACGGGCGGACUUGAGGAAGGUAGGGGAGAACGGAAUUCCUGGUGGAGCGGUGGAAUGCGCAGAUAUCAGGAGGAACACCGGUGGCGAAGGCGGUUCUCUGGACCUUUCCUGACGCUGAGGAGCGAAAGCGUGGGGAGCAAACAGGCUUAGAUACCCUGGUAGUCCACGCCGUAAACGGUGGGCACUAGGUGUGGGGGACAUUCCACGUUCUCCGUGCCGUAGCUAACGCAUUAAGUGCCCCGCCUGGGGAGUACGGCCGCAAGGCUAAAACUCAAAGGAAUUGACGGGGGCCC